rnacentral:rRNA from 1 species
CCUACGGGGUGCUGCAGUGAGGAAUAUUGGUCAAUGGACGAGAGUCUGAACCAGCCAAGUAGCGUGAAGGAUGACUGCCCUACGGGUUGUAAACUUCUUUUAUCUGGGAAUAAAAUGUUCCACGUGUGGGAUUUUGUAUGUACCAUAUAAAUAAGGAUCGGCUAACUCCGUGCCAGCAGCCUCGGGAAUACGGAGGAUCCGAGCGUUAUCCGGAUUUGUUGGGUUUUAAGGGAGCGUAGGUGGAUUGUUAAGUCAGUUGUGAAAGUUUUCGGCUCAACCGUAAAAUUGCAGUUGAAACUGGCAGUCUGGAGUACAGUAGAGGUGUGCGGAAUUCGUGGUGUAGCGGUGAAAUGCUUAGAUAUCACGAAGAACUCCGAUUGCGAAGGCAGCUCACUGGACUGCAACUGACACUGAGGCUCGAAAGUGUGGGUAUCAAACAGGAUUAGAUACCCGGGUAGUC